rnacentral:rRNA from 1 species
UUCCGUAGGUGAACCUGCGGAAGGAUCAUUCGCACAUGCUCCAAACACAUUUCUGUGAACUUUUCUGUGGGGGCUUGUGUGGGGAUGUACAUUCUGGUUCCCCCAUGCAAGUUCUCGUGGGUGGUGGGUUGGAUGGGAUGUCAAGCAUACCUGUUCAUUCCCACUGCCACUGCGUACAGCAAUGCGACUUGAUGCGAGCUUUCUGUUUAUGGCUUUUGCCAUGUGCAGCUCACAACUUUCAGCGAUGGAUGUCUCGGUUCGAGCAACGAUGAAGGGCGCAGCGAAGUGCGAUAAGCAUUGUGAAUUGCAGAAUUCCGUGAACCGACAGGGACUUGAACGCAUAUUGUGCUUUUGGGAUAUCCCUAAAAGCAUGCCUGCUUCAGUGUCUAUUCUUUGUUGUUUCAGCAGCUGUUGGUACUAGCUGGCAUGCUGCUGCGAGCACUUGUGCCUCAAGAUGUUUGGCCCUUUGCUGGGGUAUCUCUGAGGCAUGCGAUUGACAAGGCUACGGUGUGACGGUCAGCUUACUGAGGCAUCUGUGUAUGCAGCUUGCUGCGGUCGUCUCAUCGUGAGGCUUGUUGUCACGAUCUGGUUUCACCAAGUGUUGAGACAUGAAGUUAGGU